rnacentral:rRNA from 1 species
GGGCAAGUCUGGUGCCCUCAGCCGCGGUAAUUCCAGCUCCAAUAGCGUAUACUAAAGUUGUUGCAGUUAAAAAGCUCGUAGUUGAAUUUCGGGAUCAAUUUAUUGGUCGUGCUAUUGUACGUACUGGUAUUAUUGAUUCCUACCUUCUGACGAACCAUGAUGUCAUUAAUUUGGUGUCUUGGGGAAUCAGGACUGUUACUUUGAAAAAAUUAGAGUGUUUAAAGCAGGCA